CAUAAUUUACAAUUUUUAAAGUGAUUAAAUAUGGCGGGUACACCUGAACAGCAGUAGGGUUUUUUUUUUUUUUUCAAAUCAGCACAUGUAAAGCUCUAACAUACAUAGCUCACCCAGUAAACAUCUGUAAUAACAAACAUCUUUCUUCUGAUCUUCCUCCUCCAGAACCUCUUUUCUACAUGCAAUACUUGCAAUUGUGAAUUUCGAAGUUAUUGAGUGAGAUCUAUCGACUUGUAUUUUUUGCUUUGCUGGAAAGACUUAAUUCAAUGUUUCUCUGAAGUACAGCUGGGAAAUCCUAGGAAAGCAGACAGAGCCCUUGGCUAGUUUUACGACAGAGUGUGUUCCCACCCUCCCUCCUAACCCACUGGCAGGGAAAGGGCUGCUGAGAGGAUGACAGGAGAUGUGGCACUGCGCCCAGGAAAGCGCAAACGCACACUCAGCAAGGCAGGGCCUUGCCUCCUUCCUCUGGUCCUUCAGAUUUCCAACGAGUGGGCCAGCCGGCUCCUGUGGUUCCUGAGAGCUCUUUAGUUGUGAGCUGGCAUUUUCGAGCCCCCCAUGGUCUUGGGGUCAGCAAGAGGUUCAUCGUAUGAGGCCCACAGCUUCACGAUCUGUGGGGCUGGGAGGGAGAAGGAGCUGCUUCAUCAUCAUGGAAGCAAAAUGGGGUUAAAGCUCAGUACUAGUAAGGCUCAACAUUCAGUCUCUGAAGCUGAGCCCUGAGGGUCUAGCCUGGAACAGGACUAAAAACAGCUAGUCCUCAAAAGGCGACUGGGAAAAGACUGUGUCACUGGUGGAACUCCUGGGGGUGUGAAGGGCUCCCAAGUCUGUACGCACCACCUUCUCUGCUCGGUAACUUUUCUUACACACAGAACUGAGCCAAAGCUUUAAGGCAGGCAGAGAUACAAGAGGAAGCCCUGCUACACACAGCAAGACACGACACAUGGCAGGAGUUGCCUUGUGCCCCUUUUCCCAGCUCACAGUAUGUGAAGCUGACGGCUACUGCUCCAACCCACCCUAACCAGGUCGCUUGCCCUGCAAAUACUCAUCCAAGUGCAACUGACAAACAUCAGCUUUAUACUUAAAACUAAAUCUCUGAGUAUUACCUACCUGAUUGAAAUAAUCCAUGAAAUGGUGAUAAAUGUUGCAUGUUUUAUAUUGCUGAAAACAUCCUCAAGCCCAAAGGCAGUGAACGAGCCUGCCCAGUGCAGCAGGGCACAGCAUCCUUUUACCUCCCCACCUCUACUCUGCUCUCGUCAGACAGCCCAAAGAGCAAGACCAGUACCUGCCUGACUCCAAAUAUGUUAUUAGCAAUACAUUCACUCUUUCCACUGAAACACCAAAUAAAACCCUGUUUGGCCUAGCUCAAACACUGUUCAUGCUAACAGCAGAUUCAGUCAUGGUUUUUAUCAUGAGAUUCACUUCUCACCGGCUUGAUCAGCCUAAGGGUAAUAAAUGAAGUGCACUGCACCAACAAAGGCUUCAUCUGCACCCACAUGCCGCAUGUUGUGGAAGGAAACGCAGACUUCUCUGUGCUGCAGAAUUCAGUGAUUUCAGUCAGGCUGUAUUUCACACACCAAGACAAACCUUUGGUAUCAUACUUUUGACUCCCUCAGAAUAGGUUGCGUCAUCACAACAAUUACGAGAUUAAAUAACCUUCCCCCCCAACAUGGUAAGAUUCAGAUCCUUGGCUGCUGCGAGACAGAGGGUGGUAGGGAGGAAGAAGGAAACAAAUUAAAACCUUGUUGGAAUCAUCAUUAAAGAACCAAUAUAAAGGAAGGAAAUGGGGCAAGUGAACAAAAAUAAUGACUCCAGGAGCAAGGGCUAAAAUAAUACAUGUAUUUCUACCUACUCUACCUUAAAAUUGAAGCAGAAUCGUUUUUCCUCUUGUGCUCCUUGUUUUCAGCAGAAGGAAGUGUUCAGACCCAAAUUACAACAUCAGAUGCCAGCAACUGUGGACAUGGGGUGCGAGCGGCAGAGAAGCAAGAGCGUGCAACUGUCACCAGUCCUACUCCUGCGUAUGCAAGAUGCUCCUCUGUGCAUGGAUUCAGCAUUUCAAAGCUACCUUUAUUUACUAAUGAAUAAUUUAUAUACCUCCAUAUUUUGCUGUUUUUAAACUGCUGCCAAGCAACUGUUUUUUUAAAAAUAGCAUCAUUCCACUGCUUUGACCAAAAUAUUGGUAGCAGCAGCAGAACCCAUACAGCUGGCAGACAUAUACUGACAGGCACUUUCAUGUGGCAGUCAUCAUCCAAGCCAGGCAACCUUCUGAAGCCAGCCUCUGGACACUUUUAGGCAACCAGUCACCUCCAGCAAAAGAGGAGAAACUGCACUGGAGAGGAGGGGGGAAGGCAACCCGCACAUGGUAGCACUGACCGACCGUUAUCAGGAAGACAAGGCGUAGUUGCCAUGGUAUCAGAAUGGAGGUAUAACGUAGUAAUCUAAAUGAAGGCCAC